GAUGAACGCUGGCGGCGUGCCUAAUACAUGCAAGUCGAGCGAACAGACGAGGAGCUUGCUCCUCUGACGUUAGCGGCGGACGGGUGAGUAACACGUGGAUAACCUACCUAUAGGACUGGGAUACCUUCGGGAAACCGGAGCUAAUACCGGAUAAUAUAUUGAACCGCAUGGUUCAAUAGUGAAAGACGGUUUUGCUGUCACGUAUAGAUGGAUCCGCGCCGCAUUAGCUAGUUGGUAAGGUAACGGCUUACCAAGGCUACGAUGCGUAGCCGUCCUGAGAGCGUGAUCGGCCACACUGGAACUGAGACACGGUCCACACUCCUGCGGGGGGCAGCAGUAGGGAAUCUUCCGCGAUGCGCGAAAGCCUGACGGAGCAACGCCGCGUGAGUGAUGACGGUCUCCGGAUCGUAAAACUCUGUUAUUAGGGAAGUACAAAUGUGUAAGUAACUAUGCACGUCUUGACGGUACCUAAUCAGAAAGCCCCGGCUAACUACGUG
rnacentral:rRNA from 1 species